rnacentral:rRNA from 1 species
GACAGAGGGGGGCAAGCGUUGCUCGGAAUCACUGGGCGUAAAGGGCGCGUAGGCGGGAUGGCAAGUCGGUCGUGAAAUCCUUCGGCUCAACCGAAGAACGUCGGGCCGAUACUGCCGUUCUUUGAGGGAUGCAGAGGAGAUUGGAAUUCCCGGUGUAGCGGUGAAAUGUGUAGAGAUCGGGAGGAACACCGGGUGGCGAAGGCGACUUCCUGGCCUGUUCUUGACGCUGAGGCGCGAAAGCUAGGGGUAGCAAAACGGG